rnacentral:rRNA from 1 species
CCUACGGGGGGCAGCAGUAGGGAAUCUUCCACAAUGGGCGAAAGCCUGAUGCAGCAACGCCGCGUGGGUGAAGAAGGUCUUCGGAUCGUAAAACCCUGUUGUUAGAGAAGAAAGUGCGUGAGAGUAACUGUUCACGUUUCGACGGUAUCUAACCAGAAAGCCACGGCUAACUACGUGCCAGCAGCCGCGGUAAUACGUAGGUGGCAAGCGUUAUCCGGAUUUAUUGGGCGUAAAGGGAACGCAGGCGGUCUUUUAAGUCUGAUGUGAAAGCCUUCGGCUUAACCGGAGUAGUGCAUUGGAAACUGGGAGACUUGAGUGCAGAAGAGGAGAGUGGAACUCCAUGUGUAGCGGUGAAAUGCGUAGAUAUAUGGAAGAACACCAGUGGCGAAAGCGGCUCUCUGGUCUGUAACUGACGCUGAGGUUCGAAAGCGUGGGUAGCAAACAGGAUUAGAUACCCCGGUAGUC